CGGGCUGCCGGGGGGCAUCUGCCCCCGGGUCCGCGCUCGCCGGAGACACCUUGAACUCUGUCUGAAGAUUGUAGUCUGAGACAAAAUAUAAAUUAUUUAAAACUUUCAACAACGGAUCUCUUGGUUCCGGCAUCGAUGAAGAACGCAGCGAAAUGCGAUACGUAAUGUGAAUUGCAGAAUUCAGUGAAUCAUCGAGUCUUUGAACGCACAUUGCGCCCUCUGGUAUUCCGGAGGGCAUGCCUGUCCGAGCGUCAUUGCUGCCCUCAAGCACGGCUUGUGUGUUGGGCUCCGUCCUCCUUCUGGGGGGACGGGCCCGAAAGGCAGCGGCGGCACCGCGUCCGGUCCUCGAGCGUAUGGGGCUUUGUCACCCGCUCUGUAGGACUGGCCGGCGCCUGCCGAUCAACCAAACUUUUUUCCAGGUUGACCUCGGAU
rnacentral:rRNA from 1 species